ensembl:lncRNA
GUGUGGAGCUGUGCAGUAACAUGAGGUAUCUGUUUCUGUGUGGAGCUGUGCAGUAACAUGAGGUAUACCCCCUCGACACUCACACUGUUUCUGAGGGGAGCUGUGCAGUAACAUGAGGUAUACCCCAUCGACACUCACACUGUUUCUGAUAGGAGCUGUGCAGUAACAUGAGGUAUACCCCCUCGACACUCACACUGACAGCCCUUUUAGUUAGCGGUGCUAUUUUACUGUCAUGGUGUUGUGUGGGAAUGAGAGCAAAGCGGUGGAGUUGAACCAUUCCCAUGGCCACUUUAGUAACAUCUUCUGCCACAACUCCAGUGAAUGUGAAAUACAAGAUGGCCAUGUUGAAGUAU